ACCUUUUCUCCAGUGAAGAGUUUCUCACACAUUGUGUUUUAAUUUCUUUUUCUUUCCUUGCAGACUGAUAUCCUGUGGUUGGCAGAAAGCUAUGAGUUCUCCCACUUUAUGUCAUUUUCCCAAAGUGAAAAUUUGAAAUAAACAAAACAAAACAACCAAAAACAAACAAAUAAACAAAACAAAACAAAACAAAACAAAACAAAGGUUCUGUGCAUCAUGUGGAGGUGGCUGGGCUUACAGAAGUCAAAACCAAAAUUGCGUCUUCCUGAUUUUUUUGUCAGAGCAAUUGAUGAAUUCCACUUUCAAGUUUUUUCUGCAUCUGAAGUCAUCCAGCUGACAAGAAAGAAGGAUUUGCACUGUAAGACUGUUCAAAAGAAGAUUGGCUGAUGUUCUAUUCAGAGCUAUGAACAGGUGAGUGUAACUGACAGAAAUUGCAUGUAGGGAAAUCAAGGUGCUCUCU
rnacentral:lncRNA from 1 species